rnacentral:rRNA from 1 species
UACGGAGGGUGCAAGCGUGAAUCGGAAUUACUGGGCGUAAAGCGCACGCAGGCGGGCUGUCAAGGCGGAUGUGAAAUCCCCGGGCUCAACCUGGGAACUGCAUUCGAAACUGGCAGGCUAGAGUCUUGUAGAGGGGGGUAGAAUUCCAGGUGUAGCGGUGAAAUGCGUAGAGAUCUGGAGGAAUACCGGUGGCGAAGGCGGCCCCCUGGACAAAGACUGACGCUCAGGUGCGAAAGCGUGGGGAGCAAACAGG